ACCGAAAUAGCUCAGUUGGGAGAGCGUUAGACUAUAGAUCGAAAGGUUUCUGGUUCGAUCCCGGGAUUCGGCA
rnacentral:tRNA from 1 species